AUUCCAGCUCCAAUAGCGUAUAUUAAAGUUGUUGCAGUUAAAAAGCUCGUAGUUGGAUUUCUGGGCUGAGCGACCGGUCCGCCGCUGUGCGGUGUGUACUCGUGUUCGACUCGGCUCAUCCUUGUGGGGAAACGCAUUUCGGCAUUAGGUUGUCGAGGCGGGGAACCGCAUCGUUUACUGUGAAAAAAUUAGAGUGUUUAAAGCAGGCAAAUUGCUGUGAAUACAUUAGCAUGGAAUGAUAACAUAGGACUUUGGUUCUAUUUUGUUGGUUGGAGGCCAAGGUAAUGAUUAAUAGGGAUAGUUGGGGGUAUUCAUAUUUAAUUGUCAGAGGUGAAAUUCUUGGAUUUAUGAAAGAUGAACUCAUGCGAAAGCAUUUACCAAGGAUGUUUUCAUUA
rnacentral:rRNA from 1 species